CAUGCAAGUCGAACGCAGUAGCAAUACUGAGUGGCAAACGGGUGAGUAUAAUGUGGGAAUCUGCCUUUUGGUUUGGAAUAACACGGGGAAACUUGUGCUAAUACCGAAUAAGCCCUUACGGGGAAAGUUUUAAUGCCGAAAGAUGAGCCUGCACUUGAUUAGCUAGUUGGUAAGGUAAAAGCUUACCAAGGCAACGAUCAAUAGCUGUUCUUAGAGGAAGACCAUCCACAUUGGGACUGAGACACGGCCCAGACUCCUACGGGAGGCAGCAGUGGGGAAUCUUGCACAAUGGGGGAAACCCUGAUGCAGCGAUGCCGCGUGAGUGAAGAAGGCCUUUGGGUUGUAAAACUCUUUCGUCGGGGAAGAAAAUGACUGUACCCGAAUAAGAAGGUCCGGCUAACUUCGUGCCAGCAGCCGCGGUAAUACGAAGGGACCUAGCGUAGUUCGGAAUUACUGGGCUUAAAGAGCUCGUAGGUGGUUAAAAAAGUUGAUGGUGAAAUCCCAAGGCUCAACCUUGGAACUGCAAUCAAAACUUUUUAGCUAGAGUGUGAUAGAGGAAAGUGGAAUUUCUAGUGUAGAGGUGAAAUUCGUAGAUAUUAG
rnacentral:rRNA from 1 species